rnacentral:rRNA from 1 species
GAUGAACGCUGGCGGCGUGCUUAACACAUGCAAGUCGAACGAGACCUUCGGGUCUAGUGGCGCACGGGUGCGUAACGCGUGGGAAUCUGCCCUUGGGUUCGGAAUAACUCGCCGAAAGGCGUGCUAAUACCGGAUGAUGUCGUAAGACCAAAGAUUUAUCGCCCAGGGAUGAGCCCGCGUAAGAUUAGGUAGUUGGUGAGGUAAAGGCUCACCAAGCCGACGAUCUUUAGCUGGUCUGAGAGGAUGAUCAGCCACACUGGGACUGAGACACGGCCCAG